rnacentral:rRNA from 1 species
AUUGAACGCUGGCGGCAGGCCUAACACAUGCAAGUCGAACGGUAACAGGAAGAAGCUUGCUUCUUUGCUGACGAGUGGCGGACGGGUGAGUAAUGUCUGGGAAACUGCCUGAUGGAGGGGGAUAACUACUGGAAACGGUAGCUAAUACCGCAUAACGUCGCAAGACCAAAAAGGGGGACCUUCGGGCCUCUUGCCAUCGGAUGUGCCCAGAUGGGAUUAGCUAGUAGGUGGGGUAACGGCUCACCUAGGCGGCGAUCCCUAGCUGGUCUGAGAGGAUGACCAGCCACACUGGAACUGAGACACGGUCCAGACUCCUACGGGAGGCAGCAGUGGGGAAUAUUGCACAAUGGGCGCAAGCCUGAUGCAGCCAUGCCGCGUGUAUGAAGAAGGCCUUCGGGUUGUAAAGUACUUUCAGCGGGGAGGAAGGGAGUAAAGUUAAUACCUUUGCUCAUUGACGUUACCCGCAGAAGAAGCACCGGCUAACUCCGUG